rnacentral:rRNA from 1 species
UACGUAGGGGGCGAGCGUUGUCCGGAAUUACUGGGCGUAAAGGGUGCGUAGGCGGUCUAUUAAGUCAGAUGUGAAAUACCUCGGCUCAACUGAGGGGUUGCAUUAGAGACUGGUAGGCUAGAGUGCAGGAGAGGGAAGUGGAAUUCCUAGUGUAGCGGUGAAAUGCGUAGAGAUUAGGAGGAACACCAGUGGCGAAGGCGGCUUCCUGGACUGUAACUGACGCUGAGGCACGAAAGCGUGGGUAGCGAAC